GAGCCAGGGGGAGAAAGGGUUUAUGAGGAGAGGCCAGGAGAAACAGGAGGGCAUUUUGGAAAACUCCAGUAAGGAGAGGCGGUGAGCUAAUUGCUACUACUCAGCCUCUGAAGAGCAGAAUUCCACCUUAACCUUUGAAUGUUGAGUUCUUUAGAAGGAGAGAGUUUUAGUUAAGCUCCCUUCGUAGCUUUGUGAGAGUCGGAGCCUGGGGGAACAGAUUUCCCUCCAGCUACAUUCCUUGCGGCCUAACAGUUGCUGGUAGCGGAUGAGUUGCAGUUGCUGAUUCGGACAGCUGUGGCUUAAAAGGCAGAAACAAUUUUUAAAAGGACAACAAAUAACGUUGGCUAAGGAAUCUAACAGGGCUUCCACACAGGAAGCAGAAGUUUCUAGAUGACCCAGGUCUAUGUCUACUUGAGCACUGAGUUUCUAAAGGUUUGCCCCCAGCCCAACUAGGGCUGAAAUUCCAACUGUCAUGGCACCUGCAACGCCUGCCCCCACCAACAAGGGAAUGAGCAUGGGGACAGCUUGCUGCACGUGAGGAAGCUCAGAAUCUAGACGUCGGUGGGCCAUGCCCUCUGUUUUCAUUGUUGAUGAACACCUGCGGUAUAACAUACGUGAGGACAUAAAGGAGUGGGUUCUUCUCCCGUGUAAACAAUUUAGAAGCUGUAAAAGGGAAGCCAGUCUAGGAGCCAGCUGCUUAUAAAGACUUUCGAUCGGCUUAAACCUGUGUCUGAGUGCUCUUCUCCGGUACUGGAUCACAGUAACAAUUCCAGGGGAACAAAAUAAGAAUUCAGAAAAGACCAUCUCAGAGGUUCCAGAGCAGGGGACACAGCCGAGGACAGCCUUGGUUCCUGAAGACUAACAGUCACUCUGGGGCAUGAAUUUACUAGCUGGUUGCUGAAAACUGGAUCCAAUGCGGGGUUGACUGUCACGGAACCGGCGGUGCUGAGGAGGGGGAUGCAGACUGUGAAUGGCAGGCAGCAGCCUUGCUUCUAGGGAAGUAGUAUCUGCAAAGAUGUUUAAGGAAGACACAGCUCAUCGCUCUAACUCAGCUUUACCCGACUACCAGUUCUCAGGGCCACCAUCUUGAUGCCAGACAGGACGUUGGCGCGAUCGCGGUGCUGAGCCACCAUCAAGGCCAACUAGAAAGAACAAGCAGUGGACAACUGACAGGGGAGCGGGCAGUCACACUGCCAGCAGGUUCAGAGACGUGGACUCUCCUAAAUGUUCUCCAGGGAAAAGAGAACUGUCGGAAUCUCGGCUGACAUGAUGUCAGGAGUUGUAUAUUUCAGCCCUCUACCUGGUGCUCAUCGGCGCCACACCCCCCAGGACAGAGUUAUCCAUCUCUGUCCUAACAGCCGGUAAAGACGGUGCCCCCAGCACCCCCCAGAGGUCCUCAAGGGAACUGCUGAGGCAAAGCAAUAGGGUCCCUCAUGCAUGCUGCUGUUCACCGUGAGCAUCCUGCUUUCUUCUGCAGUCCUGGGUGGGGAUUAAACCCAGGGCCCGGGGCAGGCUGGGCCAGUGACCUACCACCGCCACAUUCACAGCCGCCAGCUUGAGUCCCUGGAUGCUGGUUCUUGUGCACAGACACAGAAUCCCCCUCCGCCCACUUUGUGCAGCGUUUUAGAAAUUACCGAGAGAAGAAACAGGAAACACUUUGCUGUUAGCCACACAGACCACCAGGUAUUUGAGUGUGAGCUUCUCUCGGCCUCAGUUUCUAACUCUUUUCUAAGAUAGCAAUGAUCUGGCUCGAAAUUCAAAUAUGGAUUUGGGCCUCAGAGACAAUCAGGUGGAUGUGGUAAAAAAUAGAACUCACUACAGAUACUCCAAAUGACAGGCACGCAGGAAAUACUUAAGAUGCAAAGCAGGGGAGGGGUGGGCUCCUUCCUGUGUUCCGCCGGCUAGAAAGUGUAAUCCUUCACACACAUUUUUUGUAUAAACACAAAUGAUGAACCUUCA